rnacentral:rRNA from 1 species
CCUACGGGAGGCAGCAGUGAGGAAUAUUGGUCACUGGACGAGAGUCUGAACCAGCCAAGUAGCGUGAAGGAUGACUGCCCUAUGGGUUGUAAACUUCUUUUAUAUGGGAAUAAAAUGUUCCACGUGUGGGAUUUUGUAUGUACCAUAUGAAUAAGGAUCGGCUAACUCCGUGCCAGCAGCCGCGGUAAUACGGAGGAUCCGAGCGUUAUCCGGAUUUAUUGGGUUUAAAGGGAGCGUAGGUGGAUUGUUAAGUCAGUUGUGAAAGUUUGCGGAUCAACCGUAAAAUUGCAGUUGAAACUGGCAGUCUUGAGUACAGUAGAGGUGGGCGGAAUUCGUGGUGUAGCGGUGAAAUGCUUAGAUAUCACGAAGAACUCCGAUUGCGAAGGCAGUUCACUGGACUGCAACUGACACUGAGGCUCGAAAGUGUGGGUAUCAAACAGGAUUAGAUACCCGUGUAGUC